CAGCCGCCGCGGUAAUACGGAGGGGGCUAGCGUUGUUCGGAAUUACUGGGCGUAAAGCGCACGUAGGCGGCUUUGUAAGUUAGAGGUGAAAGCCCGGAGCUCAACUCCGGAAUUGCCUUUAAGACUGCAAAGCUAGCAGGUGAGAGAGGUGAGUGGAAUUCCGAGUGUAGAGGUGAAAUUCGUAGAUAUUCGGAAGAACACCAGUGGCGAAGGCGGCUCACUGGCUCAUACUGGACGCUGAGGUGCGAAAGCGUGGGGAGCAAACAGGAUUAGAUACCCCAGUAGUCCCUGUCUCUUAUAC
rnacentral:rRNA from 1 species